rnacentral:rRNA from 1 species
AUGCUGGAAUGCUUUGAUGGUGAAAGCUUCGGCGCUUGAGGAUGAGUCUGCGGCCUAUCAGGUAGUAUGUGGUGUAAAGGACCACAUAGCCGAGGACGGGUACGGGCCUUGAAAGAGGGAGCCCGGAGAUGGACUCUGAGACAUUAGUCCAGGCCCUACGGGGCGCAGCAGGCGCGAAAACUGUGCAAUGCGCGAAAGCGCGACACGGGGAACCUGAGUGCCUUGACACAGUCAAGGCUUUUAUCAAGCCUAAAAAGCUUGAUGAAUAAGAGCUGGGUAAGACGGGUGCCAGCCGCCGCGGUAACACCCGCAGCUCUAGUGGUGGUCACUUUUAUUGAGCCUAAAGCGUUCGUAGCCGGUUCUGUAAAUCUUCAGAUAAAUUCAUUCGCUCAACGGAUGAUCUUCUGAAGAGACUGUAGAACUUGGGACCGGGUGAGGUUGAAUGUACUUCCGGGGUAGGGGUAAAAUCCUGUAAUCCUGGAAGGACAACCGGUGGCGAAGGCGUUCAACUAGAACGGAUCCGACGGUGAGGAACGAGGGCUAGGGGAGCAAACCGGAUUAGAUACCCGGGUAGUCCUAGCUGUAAACACUGCCCACUUGGUGUUGCCUCUCUGUUGAAGGGGGGCAGUGCCGGAGCGAAGGUGUUAAGUGGGCCGCUUGGGGAGUAUGGUCGCAAGGCUGAAACUUAAAGGAAUUGGCGGGGGAGCACCGCAACGGGAGGAGCGUGCGG